UACGUAGGCAGCGAGCGUUUGUUCGGAAUUACUGGGCGUAAAGAGUGUGUAGGCGGUGCUCUAAGUUCGGUGUGAAAUCUCCCGGCUUAACUGGGAGGGUGCGCCGGAAACUGGAGUGCUCGAGCGUGGGAGAGGAAAGCGGAAUUCCUGGUGUAGCGGUGAAAUGCGUAGAUAUCAGGAGGAACACCUGCGGUGUAGACGGCUUUCUGGACCAUUGCUGACGCUGAGACACGAAAGCGUGGGUAGCAAACAGG
rnacentral:rRNA from 1 species